AUGCUCACUUCAGCAGUACUUAUGCCAAAAUUCAAAUGAUACAGAGAAAAUCAGCAUGACUCCUUCUCAAGGAUGACACUGUAAUUUGAGAAGUGUUUCCAUAUUUA
ensembl:snRNA U6 U6 spliceosomal RNA